UUAUGAAGUAGAGGUAUCCAUUAACUCAAUCUCUUCCACAGCAGUGAUGUACUGUUACAGUAUUUCAUAGAUAAAAGGCAUCCUCAGUAGGGAAGUAAGCAGUGUUUAAUGUGCAGAAAUACAUCAUUAAGACUGGCUUGUUUGGCAUAUCUUCAGAGUCUCUUAAUAGGGAUAUGCUAAAUUUGAAUUUGUGAUAUUUUGAACAGGUUUUAUUUGUGGGGACAUUAUGCAGUGAUGAAAGAAAAUCUUUAUCAGCCCUGUGGUGUUUCUGCCAACGAUGCUUCUUCCUCAUAGUGCCUAACAGAGGGAGAAAAUACUGGCUGUGUUCCACAAAGACAUGAGUCCCAUGUGAAUUCUUCCCCAAGUCCGUUGGAGUCCUUCAAAAGCUGCAAGGCUGUCUUUCUGGUGGACGAACAUUUCAUGGGUCUCAGAACACUGCAGGCCCUCUAAGGCUCCAGAGGUGAACUUAACAGUUUUGCAAGUGUGCAGGUUUUAUUGUGCGUGUGUGGCAAACUCGUGCAUUUUGUAGUGUGAGCAGUGGAAAAUGAAAAGAAGGAAAAAAAGAUAUCCAGGAACACAGAUCAAUGUAAGCACUGAAAUCCUGUAUUACUUCGUUCUGCUGUGUAUUGUUGGUUAAUUUCAGCUGAAGGUCAAUAGUCCUCCUGUAAAGCUACUUUCCCUUGACAUUGAUUGCCUUUGUCUGGAGGGAAAUCAAUACUUUUGUCAUUUAGCAAAAUGAGAGUUUCAGAUUCCCGUGAAACUCUAUCAGUGUCGACACGUCCCAUCAGGGGGUUCAUCAAAAAUACGAUAAAGCAACUCAAUGCAUCACCAGGGAUUUUACCUUCUCGGGUAACUUGUGAUUUUUCUCAUUUGCAUUCUAAUACCAAGGUGGCUUUUUAUUACAGCUGCCACAGGGUAUUAGAGAAUAAAGCUCUCAGAGAAAGAAGCCAUUGUACGGCAUGAUCAAGAAUCAUAAUUCAAAUGUAAAUAAUUAAAAGAUGUCAAGGAUAGGGUAUGACUUUUUAUUAUUAUGCUUUAUAAUCUUGGAUGAUCAAAAUAUAACUUUAAAAGCAAAAUUCGUUACGAUUGCAUCAAUGGUUGGUCGGAGCACCUAGAAAUAUUUUGACUUUGAACCUAUUUAAAAAAAAGUUCUAAUAGGACAAUGGUUCUCUUUGGCUUUAAUGCAAAAUGCAAAGAGUUGCAAAGUACAAACAGGAAAAACAAACAAUACAGUCCUUUAUUAACAAAUGAGGAAAAAAAACAGGUUCCUAAGACUGUUACUGAUCUUCUUCUCUUUGAUGCCUGUUUUUAGAUUUUAGACAAGAGAGGCACUCACCUACUGUAAGUGCAGUUUGAAUUCUACUGAGUCUGGGUUCGAGCUUGUGUUAUGUCAUUAGCUGGCUGUGACUAGGAUUCCCCUAGCAGUGGAGAACAUUAAGCUCAGUGGUUGCAGGAUGUGCAGGUCUCUGACACAACUGGUCAUACCACAUUAGGUGUGUACAAC